rnacentral:lncRNA from 13 species
CUCUCUCUCUCUCUCUCUCUCUCUCUCUCUCUCUCUCUCUCUCUCUCUCUCUCUCUCUCUCUCUCUCUCUCUCUCUCUCUCUCUCUCUCUCUCUCUCUCUCUCUCUCUCUCUCUCUGUCUCUCUCUCUCUCUCUCUCUCUGUCUCUCUCUCGCUCUGUUUCUCUCUCAAUUCAAUUCCAAUUUAAGGGCUUUAAUGGCAUGGGAAACAUAUGUUAACAUUGCCAAAGCAAGUUAAGUAGAUAAUAAACAAAGGUUUUUAAAAAACAAUACAAAUUAACAGUAAACAUCUCUCUAUUUCUUUCUGAAUCUCUUUCUCUUAGAAAUGAUUUCUCCCUCUCUCUCUCACCGACUCUCUGAUCUCUCUCUCCCCCUUUCUACUUUUAUCUGCUAAGAGAAUGUACAGCUACAUCAAUGUCCUACAGUCUAGUCAUGAAUAUAAACCAAUUUCACUGGGCACUAGAAGGCUAUCUAAGGAUUCCUCUUCCGAAACUGAAAAGAUUUGGGAUUUCAACAAAUAAUUCCCUGAAAUUGGUUUGUGGGGGAUUAGAAUAAUGUGUUCUAAAGAUCUCUGCUAUCUCUCUCCUGUGGGACGGUUGUUUCACUGUUCUAUCUCUCUCCUGUGGGACGGUUGUUUCACUGUUCUAUUUCUCUCCUGUGGGAUGGCUGAGUUGUUUCACUGUUCUAUCUCUCUCCUGUAGGAUGGCUGAGUUGUUUCACUGUUCUAUCUCUCUCCUGUGGGAUGGUUAUUUCACUGUUCUAUCUCUCUCCUGUGGGAUGGUUGUUUCACUGUUCUAUCUCUCUCCUGUGGGAUGGUUGUUUCACUGUUCUAUCUCUCUCCUGUGGGAUGGUUGUUUCACUGUUCUAUCUCUCUCCUGUGGGAUGGUUGUUUCACUGUUCUAUCUCUCUCCUGUGGGAUGGUUGUUUCACUGUUCUAUCUCUCUCCUGUGGGAUGGUUGUUUCACUGUUCUAUCUCUCUCCUGUGGGAUGGCUGAGUUGUUUCACUGUUCUAUCUCUCUCCUGUGGGACGGUUGUUUCACUCUUCUAUCUCUCUCCUGUGGGAUGGUUAUUUCACUGUUCUAUCUCUCUCCUGUGGG